GUGAGGAAUUUUGCGCAAUGGGGGCAACCCUGACGCAGCGACGCCGCGUGGAGGACGAAGUCUUUCGGGAUGUAAACUCCUGUCAGUGGGGACGAUAAUGACGGUACCCACAGAGGAAGCACCGGCUAACUCCGUGCCAGCAGCCGCGGUAAGACGGAGGGUGCAAGCGUUGUUCGGAAUUACUGGGCGUAAAGCGUAUGUAGGCGGCAAGUUAAGUUCAAUGUUAAAGCCCACGGCUCAACCGAGGAGAUGCAUUGAAUACUGGCUAGCUAGAGGGUGUUAGAGGAAGACGGAAUUCCCAGUGUAGCGGUGAAAUGCGUAGAUAUUGGGAGGAACAUCGGUAGCGAAAGCGGUCUUCUGGGACAUACCUGACGCUGAGGUACGAAAGCGUGGGGAGCAAACGGGAUUAGAAACCCGUGUAGUCC
rnacentral:rRNA from 1 species